UACGUAGGGGGCAAGCGUUGUCCGGAAUUACUGGGCGUAAAGGGCUCGUAGGUGGCCAACUAAGUCAGACGUGAAAUCCCUCAGCUUAACUGGGGAACUGCGUCUGAUACUGGAUGGCUUGAGAUUGGGAGAGGGAUGCGGAAUUCCAGGUGUAGCGGUGGAAUGCGUAGAUAUCUGGAGGAACACCGGUGGCGAAGGCGGCAUCCUGGACCAACACUGACACUGAGGAGCGAAAGUGUGGGGAGCGAACAGG
rnacentral:rRNA from 1 species